AACAUUAUAUACCUGAGCCAACUCUAGAGGUAAUGCAAGUCUAUAAGCUAAAGAGCCAACCCGCUCUAGAAUCUCAUAUGUCUUGAUAUACCGAGGACACAGUUUACCAUGUUUACCAAAUCGAAGGAUACCCCUUCAUGGUGAUACUCUCAAGAAGACCUUUUCCCCAACUUUAUACUCAAUCUCUCUUCUAUGUUUAUCUGCAUGGCUUUUCUG
rnacentral:lncRNA from 1 species